UGGCGAACGGCGGAGUAAUACAUGAGGAACGUGCCCUGAAGACUGGGAUAGUCGUUGGAAACGACGGGUAAUACCAGAUGUGGCGAGCUUUUGGCAUCAAGAGCUCACUAAACGGUUUUUCGCUUCAGGAGUGCCUCAUGGCCUAUCAGGUAGUUGGUGAGGUAAUGGCUCACCAAGCCGACGACGGGUAGCGGGUCUCAGAGGAUGAUCCGCUCGAGUGGGACUGAGACACGGCCCACACACCUACGGGUGGCAGCAGUUGGGAAUCUUGCACAAUGGGGGAAACCCUGAUGCAGCGACGCCGCGUGGAGGAUGAAGGGUCUAGGCCUGUAAACUCCUUUUAUGGGGAAAGACUUAGGACGGUACCCCAUGAAUAAGGACCGGCUAACUACGUGCCAGCAGCCGCGGUAAGACGUAGGGUCCAAGCGUUGUCCGGAUUUACUGGGCGUAAAGAGCACGUAGGCGGCUCGUUAAGUGUGAAGUGAAAUCUCUAGGGCUCAACCCAGAAACUGCUUUACAUACUGGCGAGCUAGAGGGAUGCAGAGGCUUGUGGAAUUCCUGGUGUAGCGGUGAAAUGCGUUGAUAUCAGGAGGAACACCCAUGGCGAAGGCAGCAAGCUGGGCAUCAUCUGACGCUGAGGUGCGAAAGCGUGGGUAGCAAACAGGAUUAGAUACCCUGGUAGUCCACGCCCUAAACGAUGGAUACUAGGCGUAAGAGGUAUCGACCCCUCUUGUGCCGCAGCUAACGCAUUAAGUAUCCCGCCUGGGGAGUACGGCCGCAAGGUUGAAACUCAAAUGAAUUGAC
rnacentral:rRNA from 1 species